rnacentral:rRNA from 1 species
UACGUAGGGACCAAGCGUUGUUCGGAUUUACUGGGCGUAAAGGGCGCGUAGGCGGCGCGGUAAGUCACUUGUGAAAUCUCUGAGCUUAACUCAGAACGGCCAAGUGAUACUGCAGUGCUAGAGUGUGGAAGGGGCAAUCGGAAUUCUUGGUGUAGCGGUGAAAUGCGUAGAUAUCAAGAAGAACACCCGUGGCGAAAGCGGCUCUCUGGAACGGUACUGACGCUGAGACGCGAAAGCGUGGGGAGCGAACAGG